UACGAAGGGGGCUAGCGUUGUUCGGAAUUACUGGGCGUAAAGCGCGCGUAGGCGGUUUUGCAAGCCAGAGGAGAAAUGCCUGAGCUCAACUUAGGAAUUGCCUUUGGGACUGUGAGACUUCGAGGCCUGGAGAGGUGAGUGGAAUUCCCAGUGUAGAGGUGAAAGUCGUAGAUAUUGGGAAGAACACCGGUGGCGAAGGCGGGUCACUGGCCAGUUUCUGCCGCUGUAGCGCGAAAGCGUGCGGAUCUCGCAGA
rnacentral:rRNA from 1 species